rnacentral:rRNA from 1 species
CCUACGGGAGGCAGCAGUGGGGAAUCUUGCGCAAUGGGCGAAAGCCUGACGCAGCAACGCCGCGUGCGGGAUGAAGGCCUUCGGGUUGUAAACCGCUUUCAGCAGGGAAGAAAUUGACGGUACCUGCAGAAGAAGCCCCGGCCAACUACGUGCCAGCAGCCGCGGUAACACGUAGGGGGCGAGCGUUGUCCGGAUUUAUUGGGCGUAAAGAGCUCGUAGGCGGUUCACUAAGUCGGGUGUGAAACCUCCAGGCUCAACCUGGAGACGCCACCUGAUACUGGUGUGACUAGAGUCCGGUAGGGGAGUGUGGAACUCCUGGUGUAGCGGUGAAAUGCGCAGAUAUCAGGAAGAACACCAGCGGCGAAGGCGGCACUCUGGGCCGGUACUGACGCUGAGGAGCGAAAGCGUGGGUAGCAAACAGGAUUAGAUACCCUGGUAGUCCACGCCGUAAACGUUGGGCACUAGGUNUGGGUCUNAACCACGAGAUCCGUGCCGCAGCUACGCAUAAGUAGCCCGCCGUCGGGAGGUACGGCCGGCGACGGACGUAAACCGUACAAACGGAAGUUAGACGGCGUGAGACGUCGCCGAACGGACGACGACGAGGGAGGUAGG